CGGCAUUGACCAGUGAUGACCGGC
rnacentral:siRNA from 1 species